rnacentral:misc_RNA from 1 species
GUGAUUUGACCUCCGGGUCUUAACUCUAUUCCACAUACCUCUGUGAACCGUUGGUCUCCGGACCUACUUUAACAAACAAUAGUGUAAUGAACGUGAAAACAUAUAACAAUAAUA